rnacentral:rRNA from 1 species
UACGGGGGGGGCAAGCGUUGUUCGGAAUUACUGGGCGUAAAGGGCUCGUAGGUGGCCAACUAAGUCAGACGUGAAAUCCCUCGGCUUAACCGGGGAACUGCGUCUGAUACUGGGUGGCUUGAGUUCGGGAGAGGGAUGCGGAAUUCCAGGUGUAGCGGUGAAAUGCGUAGAUAUCUGGAGGAACACCGGUGGCGAAGGCGGCAUCCUGGACCGACACUGACGCUGAGGAGCGAAAGCCAGGGGAGCAAACGGG